rnacentral:rRNA from 1 species
GACGAACGCUGGCGGCGUGCUUAACACAUGCAAGUCGAACGGAAAGGCCCUGCCUGCUGAGUACUCGAGUGGCGAACGGGUGAGUAACACGUGGGUGCUCUGCCCUGCACUUCGGGAUAAGCUUGGGAAACUGGGUCUAAUACCGGAUAGGACAGCACUUUAGUGUGUGUGGUGGAAGGUUUUUUCGGUGUAGGAUGAGCUCGCGGCCUAUCGGCGUGUUGGUGGGGUAAUGGCCUACCAAGGCGGCGACGGGUAGCCGGCCUGAGAGGGUGUACGGCCACAUUGGGACUGAGAGACGGCCCAGACGCCUACGGGAGGCAGCAGUGGGGAAUAUUGCACAAUGGGCGCAAGCCUGAUGCAGCGACGCCGCGUGGGGGAUGAAGGCCUUCUGGUUGUAAACUCCUUUCGCUAGGGACGAAGCUUUUUGUGACGGUACCUAGAUAAGAAGCACCGGCUAACUACGUG